ACCACCAAAAUGAUACCAAAACAUACUCUUCAAAUGUCAUGCAACUUAGGAUUUAAUUUUUAGCUCCAACACUUAGAAAAACCAAAUUCUAAGGUAAUUAAGCAACACUUGCUGAAAAUCUCACCACCGUAGUAGCAACUUUUGCCACUCAAAAUUCUCUCUUUCUUUUCACAAAGUUUUUUUAGAUUUUUUCUUUUGUUUAUCAGAUCCCUCCUCUUGGUGUUAGUAAAAAAACUACUCACAUGAGACCA
rnacentral:lncRNA from 1 species